GACGAACGCUGGCGGCGUGCCUAAUACAUGCAAGUAGAACGCUGAAGAGAGGAGCUUGCUCUUCUUGGAUGAGUUGCGAACGGGUGAGUAACGCGUAGGUAACCUGCCUGGUAGCGGGGGAUAACUAUUGGAAACGAUAGCUAAUACCGCAUAAAAUUGAUUAUUGCAUGAUAAUUAAUUGAAAGAUGCAACUGCAUCACUACCAGAUGGGCCUGCGUUGUAUUAGCUAGUUGGUGAGGUAACGGCUCACCAAGGCGACGAUACAUAGCCGACCUGAGAGGGUGAUCGGCCACACUGGGACUGAGACACGGCCCAGACUCCUACGGGAGGCAGCAGUAGGGAAUCUUCGGCAAUGGGGGGAACCCUGACCGAGCAACGCCGCGUGAGUGAAGAAGGUUUUCGGAUCGUAAAGCUCUGUUGUAAGAGAAGAACGGGUGUGAGAGUGGAAAGUUCACACUGUGACGGUAUCUUACCAGAAAGGGACGGCUAACUACGUG
rnacentral:rRNA from 1 species